AAUGAACGUUGGCGGCGUGGAUUAGGCAUGCAAGUCGAGCGUGUACCCGCAAGGGGAAAGCGGCAAACGGGGUAGGAACUCGUAGGUCACGUACCCCUCGGCCGGGGAUAGCCACGGGAAACUGUGGGUAAUACCCGAUGACGCCGAGAGGCCAAAGGUGUGAUUCCGCCGGGGGAGCGGCCUGCGUAGUAUUAGCUAGUUGGUGAGGUAACGGCUCACCAAGGCGAAGAUGCUUAGGGGGUGUGAGAGCAUGACCCCCACCACUGGGACUGAGAUACUGCCCAGACACCUACGGGUGGCUGCAGUCGAGAAUCUUCGGCAAUGGGGGCAACCCUGACCGAGCGACGCCGCGUGUGGGAUGAAGGCCCUUGGGUUGUAAACCACUGUCAGAGGGGAUGAAACGAUCAUGGGUUCUCCCAUGGUCCUGACAUAGCCUCAGAGGAAGCACGGGCUAAGUUCGUGCCAGCAGCCGCGGUAAUACGAACUGUGCAAACGUUAUUCGGAAUCACUGGUACG
rnacentral:rRNA from 1 species